rnacentral:rRNA from 1 species
UACAGAGGUCUCAAGCGUUGUUCGGAUUCAUUGGGCGUAAAGGGUGCGUAGGUGGCGCUGUAAGUCGGGUGUGAAAUUUCGGAGCUUAACUCCGAAACUGCAUUCGAUACUGCGGUGCUUGAGGACUGGAGAGGAGACUGGAAUUCAUGGUGUAGCAGUGAAAUGCGUAGAGAUCAUGAGGAAGACCAGUGGCGAAGGCGGGUCUCUGGGCCGAAAACUGACGCUGAGGAGCGAAAGCGUGGGGAGCAAACAGG